rfam:Human gut metagenome DNA, contig sequence: In-R_003233.
GAGAACUAAACACACGAAUAGUCGAAUGACGGGGUAACGCCCUGAAAGGCUACUUUAAUACUCCCGACUGGCAGAAACUUGAGUAAACAAAGCUCUGUCAGAAGCUCGGUGAAGUCGGCAGACUGACACCGUUACAGAUAUUGUUACGAAAGAUCCCAGAGGUGGCGUUGUGUUCUAAUUUCCGGAAG